CUUAAAAGAAAUACACUUCUGUAGGCUGGGACUCUACCAAAAGCAGAGUUUUUACCAUGCCUCCAAUAUCCCUGUGAGAACUAGGUCUUAGUUUUUCUUAAAGAAACAAUGGGAAAUGAUUUUAACACUCCAGUUCAACUACCUUAACAUUUAAACAGAUUUUUAGAGGCAGGUUUGGAAACCUAACCACCUAAAGAAUUCUGGGAGAUUUUUUGUUUGUUUGUUUGAUUAUUUCUUUUUGUGGGUUUUUUUUUAAUGCAUUAUAUAUUAAACAAUCAUACAAAAAACAAAAAACCUUGUAAAUCUGUUUUGUAACUUACCUCACCUUUCUGUCUCUACCCAGAUGCUUCAUAUACACAUCAUCAGCUCAAGCUCAAGAUGCCUAAGCCCAUGACAGCAAGCAAUGCUUAUGAAGGGUCCUAUUGAAUGGCUGAAGAAAGGUGAUCAGACAUCAGAAUUUAUAGCAGAGAAAGCAGCUGUUCUGUUUUGGAAAGUCAUGGAAUUGCUUUGGGGUGGUCCUCAAGAAGCAGUCAACAAACCUUCAGGAUAAUUUUACAUAGUCCCUCAAGAUGGUUGAGGUGGCUGUAAUCUGGCCGAAGUUUCUCGAAGGAUGGACAGCACACAUACAGCAAAAUAGAGCAGAGUGACCAGAAACAGUGGGAGAGAGGAGCCCCACCUGCGAUCCAUCCACUGCUCCACCCGCCACUUCUUCGUCCUGCUGUGUGUGGCUCGGUGUUUGCCGCCAAAGCGGAAGAAAGGGUCUUUGUGAGCCUGGGAGCUCAAACAGGUGAGGGCAAAGGCACCUAAAGAAAGAGUGCUAAGAGUUUAGAAAAAAUGUUAAAAGCCAUGGAAUUCCAUCAAAACUCAACAGAAUGGAAUUCCAUCCAAACCACACAUCUUAGAUGCCACUGCUGAGAGUCAAGGGAAGACUGAGCUUAGAUCCCUACUUUUUACAUUAUAAUUAGGAAAAAGUACAUAGCUUCCUUCUUGUUUACAGUGUUUUCUGGCUACAGGAAAAAAAAAAUCUCUCAAGGUUUUGUGUGCAGAAAGAUGGCUUAUAUAGCUUUAAGGGUUAUUUCUUUUGCAAAGAAUAUGUGUCCUUGCAAUUUUAUUAAUUAAUUUAUUUGUGAUAUCAGAGGUUAAGCCCACGUUUGAUGAGAAUGCUGAUGGAUGAAGACAUGCCUGUGCUGCGAUUUUGGCCGUGGACCACGGUUCUAGAUUUUGUGCUGGAAGAUACAGACAAAGCAGAUACUAGGUCUCUUGGCAGAUAUUGUUAUUUGUAAUUGGGACACUUCUGGUUGCUUCUAAGUGGUGAGGAUUAAUGCACUGGUGGUGCUGAAUAAUGUUGCUUAACUUGACAACCUGUGAGUAGAGAUUUGAAGACUUGAGUGCUGCAAUGAGCAAGGUAUUAGUAUCACUUCUAAUUUUCUAAAUUGUGGAAUUGUGAAUAGCAGCUCUGACUGCAGAUUGCACAUGAAGGCUCUCAAAGGCAUUUUACUUCAUGCUCUCUGAGAUGGUAAAAUCAUGAUAAACUUUAUGCAGGUCCCCAAAAAAAGGGUAGAGUUUGGGUGACCUUUUUUUUUUUUCAAUAUAGCCAAUAUAAAGCCAGUUUACAACUGAAGAAGAGUUAAAACUCCACUGAAGAUUUAUCUUCUUAUAGGGUAAGUUUUAUGUAUAUUUUCCAAAAUUAUGUGCUUUAUGAUUUUGUCAUAAAGUUAAUGUCCAUUCAUUAAAAUAUAGAAAAUUAGAAGUAAAUAUGUCUGUCUUAAAGAGUCAUGUACUUCGACCAGUUCCACAAGCAGUGAGAGUAGAAACAGAGUUAGGAACCCAGGCAGUCUGAUUUCUGAGCCGAUGCUUUCUCUGUGACGUCACAGUUUAUCGUUCAGCUAAUUUAAUAUUCUUUUUGUUUUGACUUAACAUUGUGCCAAAAGUGUAUUUGAAGUGAAUCUUUCUUAGGGGGAGAUAGAUCAUUCUACCAAGUACCCCACCAGUGUUUCUGAACAAGUUAAAAAAAAAAUCUUAUGUCAGUGUUCAGGGUAAAGAUCAAAAUGCUAGAAGGUUCGCACUGUGGUAUCUGGACCCUGCUGGAAACACAGGGUUUUAUACAAAGGCUAUUGCAUCCCUCCUCACCCCUGGUUGGGGCUUUGCAGGGUCAGUAGGAAGAGGUGAUGACCACACCUAUCUUUAUUUCUAGAAGUCAGAGAACAGCUUAGUAAAUGUUAUCUGAGAAGGAGAUAGAAUUUUUAAAAUAUUAAGUAUGUUUGUAUGUAUGCCAGGUCUUAGUUGCAACAUUCGGGAUCUUUGAUCUUCACUGUGGCAUCCGUGAUCUUUUUAGUUGGAGGGUGUGGGAUC
rnacentral:lncRNA from 1 species